rnacentral:tRNA from 1 species
GGCCUUAUAGUAUAAGAUUAAAAUACUAGAUUGCAAAUCCAGAGAUGUGUAUAUUAACACUAAGGCUU